CCAAAGGCUCUUUUCAGAGCCACCCACAGCGGCGCUGAAAGGGAG
rfam:Tupaia chinensis contig216716, whole genome shotgun sequence.